CCCACACCCCCUCUGCCCUCCUUCUUUUCUGUUCUUGGUCAAAAAUCAGCAGAGAGGAGCAGGACAGCCCAGCAGAGAUCCCAACACAGACGUCAUCACAUCAAAGCCACCCGCCAAGGCCUGCCUCCCGCCGAUUCCAAAUGCAUCGACAUAAUGGACCCGUCUCCCCAGGACAAACCUCCAAGGACUCAGGAAUAACUUUCCAGCCUCGGUGGAUCUUUACUUUGAGUUGCUGCCAGAAGCUGAAAACAGUAAAUGAAGCCUUGAAUCAGAAACACACUCUUGGGAUCCCUGGGUGGCGCAGCGGUUUGGCGCCUGCCUUUGGCCCAGGGCGCGGUCCUGGAGACCCGGGAUCGAAUCCCACGUCGGGCUCCCGGUGCAUGGAGCCUGCUUCUCCCUCUGCCUGUGUCUCUGCCUCUCUCUCUCUCUGU